CUUAAUUCAGAAUUGCUUUCAAUUUUUUAUUUCACCAUUGUUGAAAUUAUUUUCUAUCGCACUGCAUCGUCAUCCACUCACAUUGGCGUUCUUAUCACUCCCAACACUUUCACUCUAUGUCAUUUUGUUGAUUCUCUGUUAUAUUGGUUUAUAGGUCUCUCUAGUAAUUGAAAAGGAAAAAACAAAAAAGUCAAUAAUUAACUUGAUUCUAUAUUUUCCUCUCUGUUAUCAACUUCAUCUCGACUUUCUUCUCUGCAAAUUCUUUUCGCCUUAAUUUUGUCCCUAUUGCUCCAGUAACGUUUAUUUCAAAUACUGACUCUCCACUAAUUUUGAGAAGCUUAUUUGCAGGACUUCAUUUUCAAUUGUGGGGGUUUGUCUGUAGCAUUUGUUUUUGUGACUUACUGGGAUUGCAACAACUUGUCUCUGAUCUUCAGCAGAGUUCAGGAAUUGAGAACACAAUUUGCACCUUUUUAUGUUAUCAUCACGCUCCCAGCUAAACAGCAAAUCGAUUCAUUUAUUCAGUCUUACUUCAAGUGAGUUAAAUACGUUGCUUUUAUUUUGUCCUGAUUGAUCAUUUGCUAUGUACAAUUCAUCUGGAGGUAAAAACUGAAAUUUAUUACCAACUUUUAUAAUGGCGCUAUUUCCUAGGAUUAAUUGCAUAUGUAAAUGCUGAUAAAGUAAUCAACAAAUCACAAAGCUCGAUUAAACAAAAAAUACAAGUAACAGUAUUGAUAUAGAAUAGUAUGUGUAAAUUAUAUAGUAAUGUGUGAUUGCAGUGUAUAACAAAAAAUUGUGUUAAAUUGAAUAAAACAAAAGUUGAUGGUUCAAUGGUUAGGCACACCCAGCAUUGUGGAUUAGUGGUGCAGCAGCUUGUGAUCCCUCCACUGUUGGGAGCCAGAGGUAUUCGCUGCUCUGUUAAACCAGCCUGACGCGGUGCCCUCUAGCCUACGAGCCAGGACACUCGAGCCUUCGCUCGGGAGCCAGGGCCCAACUCUCAACUUGGAGCGGGCAAGCCAGCAUGGUGCAAGCUUCUAAU